rnacentral:rRNA from 1 species
AGUGAACGCUGGCGGUAGGCCUAACACAUGCAAGUCGAACGGCAGCACAGUAAGAGCUUGCUCUUACGGGUGGCGAGUGGCGGACGGGUGAGGAAUACAUCGGAAUCUACUUUUUCGUGGGGGAUAACGUAGGGAAACUUACGCUAAUACCGCAUACGACCUACGGGUGAAAGCAGGGGAUCUUCUGACCUUGCGCGAUUGAAUGAGCCGAUGUCGGAUUAGCUAGUUGGCGGGGUAAAGGCCCACCAAGGCGACGAUCCGUAGCUGGUCUGAGAGGAUGGUCAGCGACAUUGGAACUGAGACACGGUCCAGACUCCUACGGGAGGCAGCAGUGGGGAAUAUUGGACAAUGGGCGCAAGCCUGAUCCAGCCAUGCCGCGUGGGUGAAGAAGGCCUUCGGGUUGUAAAGACCUCUUGUUGGGAAAGAAAAGCAGCAGGUUAAUACCCCGCUGUUCUGACGGUACCCAAAGAAUAAGCACCGGCUAACUUCGUG